UCCUGAGUAGCUCAGUCGGUUAAGCAUCUGACUUUGGCUCAGGUCAUAAUCUCUUGAUUUGUGAGUUGGAGCCCCACUUCAGGGU
rnacentral:tRNA from 1 species